AACGAACGCUGGCGGCAGGCUUAACACAUGCAAGUCGAGCGCCCCGCAAGGGGAGCGGCAGACGGGUGAGUAACGCGUGGGAAUCUACCGAGCCCUGCGGAAUAGCUCCGGGAAACUGGAAUUAAUACCGCAUACGCCCUACGGGGGAAAGAUUUAUCGGGGUUUGAUGAGCCCGCGUUGGAUUAGCUAGUUGGUGGGGUAAAGGCCUACCAAGGCGACGAUCCAUAGCUGGUCUGAGAGGAUGAUCAGCCACACUGGGACUGAGACACGGCCCAAACUCCUACGGGAGGCAGCAGUGGGGAAUAUUGGACAAUGGGCGCAAGCCUGAUCCAGCCAUGCCGCGUGAGUGAUGAAGGCCCUAGGGUUGUAAAGCUCUUUCAACGGUGAAGAUAAUGACGGUAACCGUAGAAGAAGCCCCGGCUAACUUCGUGCCAGCCGCCGCCGUAAUAC
rnacentral:rRNA from 1 species